rnacentral:tRNA from 1 species
CAUUAGAUGACUGAAAGCAAGUACUGGUCUCUUAAACCACCUCAUAAUAGAAUAGCACCUAUUUCUAAUGA